rnacentral:rRNA from 1 species
CAUUAAGGUGAAACCGCGAAUGGCUCAUUACAUCAGUUAUGGUUCCUUAGAUCGUACCCACAUUACUUGGAUAACUGUGGUAAUUCUAGAGCUAAUACAUGCAAAUAGAGUUCCGACCAGAGAUGGAAGGAAUGCUUUUAUUAGAUCAAAACCAAUCGGUGGCGGGCUUGCCUUGCUCACCGUUUGACUUGGUGACUCUGAAUAACUUUGUGCUGAUCGCACGGUCUCGUACCGGCGACGCAUCUUUCAAAUGUCUGCCUUAUCAACUGUCGAUGGUAGUUUCUGCGACUACCAUGGUUGUUACGGGUAACGGGGAAUCAGGGUUCGAUUCCGGAGAGGGAGCCUGAGAAACGGCUACCACAUCCAAGGAAGGCAGCAGGCGCGCAAAUUACCCACUCCCGGCACGGGGAGGUAGUGACGAAAAAUAACGAUACGGGACUCAUCCGAGGCCCCGUAAUCGGAAUGAGUACACUUUAAAUCCUUUAGCGAUUAACAAUUGGAGGGAAAGCCUGGUGCCAGCAGCCGCGGUAAUUCCAGCUCCAAUAGCGUAUAUUAAAGUUGUUGCGGUUAAAAAGCUCGUAGUUGAAUCUGUGUCCCACACUGUCGGUUCACCGCUCGCGGUGUCCAACUGGCAUGUCUGUGGGACGUCCUACCGGUGGGCGCAGCCCCUCAAAAGGCGGCCCAACUCAAAAUCCUACCACGGUGCUCUUCACCGAGUGUCGAGG